GGCAGCAGCUAAGAAUAUUCCACAAUGGACGGAAGUCUGAUGGAGCGACGCCGCGUGCGCGAUGAAGGCCGUGAGGUUGUAAAGCGCUUUUCUUGAGGGGGAACAACACAUCCAGGGAAUGGGAUGUGGAUGACGUGAAUCGAGGAAUAAGCCCCGGCUAACUACGUGCCAGCAGCCGCGGUAACACGUAGGGGGCGAGCGUUGUUCGGAAUCAUUGGGCGUAAAGGGCGCGCAGGCGGCCCGGUAAGUCUGGUGUAAAAUGGUCGUGCUCAACACGAUCAUGCGCUGGAAACUGUCGGGCUAGAGUCAACGAGGGGAUGCCGGAAUUCCAGGUGUAGGGGUGAAAUCUGUAGAUAUCUGGAAGAACACCGAUGGCGAAGGCAGGCAUCUGGCGACUGACUGACGCUGAGGCGCGAAGGUGCGGGGAGCAAACAGGUUUAGAUACCCUGGUAGUCCGCACAGUAAACGAUGUGCACCAGGUGGCGGGCAGUAGUGCUCGGUACCGAAGCAAACGCAUUAAGUGCACCGCCUGGGGAGUAUGCCCGCAAGGGUGAAACUCAAAGGAAUUGACGG
rnacentral:rRNA from 1 species